rnacentral:rRNA from 1 species
AGAGUUUGAUCCUGGCUCAGGAUGAACGCUGGCGGCGUGCUUAACACAUGCAAGUCGAACGAAGCAGGAGGGUGCUUGCACCUUCCUGCUGAGUGGCGGACGGGUGAGUAACACGUGGAUAAUCUGCCCUGCACAGGGGGACAACAGCUAGAAAUGGCUGCUAAUACCGCAUAAGCCUACAGCCUCGCAUGAGGGAGUAGGAAAAGAAAUUCGGUGCAGGAUGAGUCCGCGUCUGAUUAGCUAGUUGGAGGGGUAAAAGCCCACCAAGGCAACGAUCAGUAGCCGGCCUGAGAGGGCGACCGGCCACAUUGGGACUGAGACACGGCCCAAACUCCUACGGGAGGCAGCAGUGGGGAAUAUUGCACAAUGGGGGGAACCCUGAUGCAGCGACGCCGCGUGAGCGAGGAAGUAUUUCGGUAUGUAAAGCUCUAUCAGCAGGGACGAAAAAAAGACGGUACCUGACUAAGAAGCCCCGGCUAACUACGUG